ACGGGAGGCAGCAGUGGGGAAUAUUGCACAAUGGGGGAAACCCUGAUGCAGCAACGCCGCGUGAGUGAAGAAGUAUUUCGGUAUGUAAAGCUCUAUCAGCAGGGAAGAUAAUGACGGUACCUGACUAAGAAGCUCCGGCUAAAUACGUGCCAGCAGCCGCGGUAAUACGUAUGGAGCAAGCGUUAUCCGGAUUUACUGGGUGUAAAGGGUGUGUAGGUGGCAUGGUAAGUCAGAUGUGAAAUACCGGGGCUCAACCCCGGAGCCGCAUUUGAAACUGCCAGGCUGGAGUACAGGAGAGGCAAGCGGAAUUCCUAGUGUAGCGGUGAAAUGCGUAGAUAUUAGGAGGAACACCAGUGGCGAAGGCGGCUUGCUGGACUGUUACUGACACUGAGGCACGAAAGCGUGGGGAGCAAACAGGAUUAGAUACCCUGGUA
rnacentral:rRNA from 1 species